CAGGACCCAGCCACUUUGCAUGGAAACAGUCCAGGUACGCCAUAUCAGUAGAACAUUUAUGAUGAAUUACCUGCUUUGAUAUAAUAAUUCAUGUUUAUGUUUUGUGCCUCCUAUGAUGCAGCUCUAUAGAUACUCUUCCAUGGCAUUUUAGGAGAUCACACUUCUUACCAUUAGAAUUAAUAUCUAAUUUAAAUUCUGAACAAGGAAUUUGAAACUCCAGAGAAUCUGAAGUGGCAACAGCAUAGAAAAGAUGCAUAUAAAGUAGCUAUUAAAUGUGUUUUAAAAAAAUCUGUGGGAAGAGAUUAUGCCACUGCCAGGUGACUAUACAAAUCUUGGCUAAAAAGAACAACCUGGGGAGUAAAGAGAGAUAAAACUGUAAGUUGCAUUUCAAGGGGAUUUGUUCUUUCCAUUUCAGGUAUCGUGUCUGUCUGUCUACCCUGUUUCAAGUUUCAGAUCCCAGAAACUUGAGUUGCCUUCAUGCAUUAAACCAAAAUCUAGAGAGCAGAUAGCCUCUUGACACCCUAUGACCAGCUAUCAGUCAGUACACAUACUCUAUCUAUUCAGCAUCUAAAGAAAGAAGGCCAAUGGAACAGAUGCCUCUCAUGAC